CUAACCCUAGCCAAUAGGGAAAGGAUACAGCAGCAGGGGCCAUGUGCGUCAGGGAUAAGAACCCCUUCCCCUCCCUGGUCCAAGUGUGCACUCACCAUUGCCCCAUCUGUAAGGGCGCACCCUUCUAUAGAAGUACAUUGACUUGCUGAAAAUUAAAAAGAAAAUUUUAUAUUCGAGUGCUAUUUCUUUUGCAGCACCGAAACUUUAUUUAUAACAAUUUGGGGGCUCCCUCGUGAUACAUUCCCCUUCCGGGCAGUCUCUGGUUCUCUCUGGUGAGGACGUGCGCCCCGCCGCCUUGUGGGGGCCUCAGGGGUGAGAAAUCAGGACCCACCCAGUUCCAGGAAUAACCCGAGCUCUCAGCAACGCAGAAAGAAACUGGCCAGCAACCUAGCUUAAAGGAUCCUCACAUACUGCAGAGGUGACUCUGUGCACAGACCAAGGAAGGAGAAGCCGCGGGAGCCGAGACAGACUCUCACUAUGUUGCUCAGGCUGGUGUCAAACUCCUGGGCUCAAGCGAUGCUCCUGCCUUGGCCACCGAAAGUGCUGGGAUUACAGGUGAGAGCCACUGUGUUUGACCAAACAUUAUUUUUUUAAAGAACCAGCAGCACGGUUAACCAGACACCCCUUUCUGAUUAAAUGUGCAAUACACAAAACGCUUUCAUAAAUAGUCGUGUAAUAAUUUGCUUAUAGAGCUCUAUGCAAAUUAUUUUUCAAAGUUAUGUCAUUGAGUUUUUUAGGGGGAUAACUCAUGAUAACCAAAUGAAUUUAGACUUAAUUAAGUACAUGGAUUCUAUAGUAGUCACAACGUUGUGAGAGUAAACGUUUUUUUUAAAGGCAAGUAGAUAAUUUGCAGUUGUGUACAUAUGUGCUCCCAGGCUAAUUUUCUUUUCUUUCUUUUCUUUUUUUUGAGACAGAGUCUCACUCCGUCACUCAGGCUGAAGUGCAGUGGUGGGAGCUUGGCUCACUGCAACCCCCGCCUCCCAGGUUCAAGCAAUUCUCUUGCCCCAGCCUCCCGAGUAGCUGGAUUUACAGGCGCAUGCCACCAUGCCCGGCUAAUUUUUUUGUACGUUUAGUAGACACGGGGUUUCGCUAUGUUGGCCAGGCUGGUCUUGAACUCCUGAUCUCAAGUGAUCUGCCCACCUCAGCCUCCCAAAGUGCUGGGAUUACAGGCGUGAGCCACUGCGCCUGGCCGGAAACAACUAUAUUUUAAAAGAAGUAGAAGAUUCAAGUGGUACCAACAAUGCUUACUUUUUCCAGAAAAAUAGAUGUGGGAUUUGAGCUUUGGAAGGUGGCUCUGGUGUGUUGUAGGUGGUGGGCACCUCCAGCUCCUGCUGCUCUUGCAAACUCCAGUUUCCAGAUGGGCCUCACUUCUGCUGCUCCCUGUGGGAAACUCCUCCAGUUUUAUCGUCAGUCAGUUUCCUAAUUUUUUUUUUUUUGUAGUCUUGCUGUGUCACCCAGGCUGGAGUGUAAUGGUGCAAUCUCGGGUCACUGCAACUUCAAGCGAUUCUCCUGCCUCAGCCUCCUGAGUAGCUGGGAUUACAGGCAUGUGCCAUUAUGCCCAGCUAAUUUUUGUACUUUUAGUAGAGACGCAGUUUCACCAUGUUGGCCAGGCUGGCCUUGAACUCCUGACCUCAAGUGAUGCAUCCACCUUGGCCUCCCAAAGGGCUGAAAUUACAGGUGUGAGCCACCUCGCACGGCCAGUUCCCUAUUUUUAUCAGUGCACUUUACCAUUUAUCUACUCAAUUCCUCACCCAUAUGCAAGGCUGCCCUUUUCUGAAGGAUGCUAGUGGUGAAUCCAUUGAAAAAUCCACUGAUUGUGUUCCCCUAGGGCCUCUUCAAGAUGGAAAGAUUCAGGUGGGGCACGGUGGCUCACACCUGUAAUCUCAGCACUUUGGGAGGCCGAGGUGGGCGGAUCACCUGAGGUCAGGAGUUCAAGACCAGCCUGGCCAACAUGACAAAAUCCGUCUCUACUAAAAAUACAAAAAUUAGCCGGGGUGGUGGCUUGUGCCUGUAAUCCCAGCUACUCAGGAGGCUGAGGGAGGAGAAUCGCUUGAACUCAGGAGGCAGAGGUUGCAGUGAGCCAAGAUUGUGCCACUACACACCAUCCUGGGUGACAGAGUGAGACUCUGUCUCAAAAAAAAAAAGCCAGGUGCAGUGGCUCACGCCUGUAAUCCUAGCACUUUGGAGACCGAGGCAGGUGGAUUGCCUGAGCUCAGGAGUUUGAGACCAGCCUGGCCAACAUGGUGAAACCCCGUCUCUACUAAAAUACAAAAAAAUUAGCUGGGCGUGGCAGCAUGUACCUGUAGUCCCAGCUACUCAGGAGGCUCAGGAAGGAGAAUUGCUAGAACCUGGGAGGUGGAGGUUGCACUGAGCCAAGAUUGCACCGCUGUACUCCAGCCUGGGUGACAGAGUGAGACUCUAUCUGGAAAAAAAAAAAAAAAAAAAAAAAAGAUUCUACAGUGAGCACAAAGGUGAAACUCACCUUGAAUGCUUUUACCAAUUGAGUGUGGAUGAACUAAUUCAGAGUAUUGCGGGCCCCUGCUGCAGCAAACACAGAGCUCCCAAAAUGCUCAGGCUAUUGGGAGGCAACUGCCUUGUCAGGGUGGCCAAUGGUUUCCCCAUUGCCAAAUCGGACAGUUAACUCCAGUCCUUGUCUGACUGGAGGCCUGCAGAUCACUGCCUCCUCUGUAACGCUCUUUACCCCCAACCCAGGGAUCCAAGAUGCCCUACUCUAGGAUCAUUUUCUCUGCCUCAUUCAUCACUCAGACUCCUUCAUUUGUUCCUUCUCUUCUCCCUCCUCUGAGUGCUGCAGAGCCCGGGUUUCCAUCCUCAGACCCCUGCCCUGCCUGCUCUCUGUCCCAAGGCAGCACUGCCAGCAUCCGAAAUAAAAAUCCAGCCCUCCUAUUCAUAGUGACAUCGAAUUUCAGAUCAACGACAAAGAGUUUUAUGGCAUAAGCAUGUCCCAAAUAUUGCAUGGCCCCAAAUAUUUACUUAGUUAAUAAGUAAAAAUUGCACAAGACAUACUUAUGCUAAAGAGUAUUGACUAUUUGUCUGAGUCCAAAUGUCUCUGGGCAUGCUGGGUUUCAUCAGGUAAUCCUGCCAUGAUUUCAGUUUCAAGGUGAUACCAUCUAUGGUGACUCUUCUGAAAAUGUUUAUCUCUAGCCUAGGUCUCUCUCCUGAACUGCAGACUCCUGCUGCCUCCAGCACAUCGCCACUUGGGUAAUGAAUAGGUGUCUCAACCUGAACAUGUCAAAAACAACACUCAUUUUUCCCCCCAAUUCCUUGCCGUUCUCACAGGUAGUCUCGUCCCCCCAGCUGCUCACCCACAAGCCUUGCACUCAGCCUUGACUCUGUUCUUCUCACACCCCAUAUCCAGUCUGCCAGGAGGUCCUUGGUCCUCCUGGGCUACACUAAUAGUGCCUCUUGCUGGUCACUGCAACCACCUCCCAUUCCUUUCCCUGCAUUGUCCUGUGCCUCACAUGGUUUUUUUCUCAACAUGCCAGCCAGAAUGACUCUUUGAAAACUUUCUCAUGCCAUGUCACUUUUCAGCCCAUCGCCCUGCAGCAGGUCCCCAUGUUACUCAGUGUAAAAGCCCAAGGUCCUUGCCCCAUCCUGCAAAGCCCCUGUGACUCUGUGGUCUCUGGAACCUUAACUCUUCCACUCUUCCUCCAGACCACUCCCUCUCCCGCAGCCUCCUGGGUGCUCCCACCAGCCAGCAUGCUCCUGCUGCGGAGCUGUGGCCCUGGCUCCUUCCUUCCUCCCGGAAUGCUCUUGGCUCCGGUGUGCAUCAUGGAGAUAGCUCCUGUCUGCCCCCAAAUCGCUGCUCAAACCUCACCUCAGUGAGGCCGGCGCUGACCUCAUCACUGACCUAUUCACCUUCCAAACUGCUCACCUCCCAGGACUCUGAUACUCCUUCCCAACUCUUUUUCAUUCUUCCAUAAAUAACAAUGUCUAACUUAUUAGGCAAUUUCUUCAUUAUAAUUGUCCUUUGUUUUCAGUCUCUUCUCACUAGAAAGGAAAGUCCAUAAUGCCCAGAAUCUUUGUUGGGUUCCCUGAAGAAUGCCAGGCUCCCGGAAGAGGGCCUGCCUCCCAGCAGGCACAUGUGUGUGGAAUGAAUGAAUGAAUGAAUGAAUGAGGCUUGUGCAAACUAACUGCUUGCAGGAAACACCUGCUCCUUCCUGGGCACUGGGUGAAAUCUUUCGUAGAAGUUAACCAUUGACUCUUCUCCCCACCAGCCUCCUCCGUCCCUCACAGUUAAAUGCAGCUGGAAGAGGGGUUGCCCUGUACCUCCAGCUAGGUGGACUCCCCAGGAAAGAGUGACAUCUCACCACUGAGCCACCUCAGCCUUUUCCAGAGACAAGCCUUCUCUAGGCCAAUCAUCAGUGUCACAGCUAUUUGUUCUUGGGAUUUGUGGCUCUAUAUUCACAUGUAAGAAGCCAAGGCACCCAUGGGGAGCCACAGGCACCAACAGAAUACACUGAAAUCAAUCUUGCUGCGACUGGGGCUACAAGCAUGGUUACUUGGCUCACCACAGAGAUUGUAUCAAUUUGCCAUCACCAGCAGAAGAGAGAACCCAUGGCAUUGCAUUCUCUGCACUGCACGUUCUAGCUUUUUGAGUGUUGGACAAGUGACUAGGCAAAGAAAUAACAUCCUUACUUUGUGACUUGUAUUUUUAUGUAAGGUUGCCUCUUUGUUUACGGACCACUUAUAUAUCUUUUUUAGGUUACCAAUUUAUGAUUUGUGUCUCCUUUUCAAUUUUUUUCUCCUCUCUCCAACUGCCAGUAUUUAUUUCUUACCAUCUCACGGAUGAGUAUACUGUCCACCUCCACCCCUUUUAGAGUCCACUGUUAGCUAAGAAACUAUGUAGAUGUAUCCUCCCUCUCCUUUUCCCAUUCUCGAACCACCUCUGAAUCUUGUACAAAUGUCAAUCAUUGCCUCCAUUGUGUCUUAACUGUUUACAUUUCGCUUUCCCUUCUAAGACUUUGAGCACUUUGGGGCCAUUUCCAUGUCUUAUCUGUGUUUUUGUAUCUUCAGCAACUAACAUGGAUGCUCAAUAAACAUACAUUGAACUGAGUUGUUACGUUGUGACCUGGAAAUAUUCACAAUUCCUUGUAUAGAUAGAAAUAGCUAAAUAAGGGCACAUAAGGAUAGACUCUAAAUGGCACUCAAUAAUGUGCAUAGGGCUGGGCGUGGUGACUCCCUGCCUGUAAUCACAGCACUUUGGGAGGUGGAGGUGGAUCACCUGAGGUCAGGAGUUAGAGACCAGCCUGGGCAACAUGGUGAAACUUCGUCUCAACCAAAAACACAAAAAAUCAGCUGGGUGUGGUAGUGUAUGUCUGUAAUCCCAGCUAUUUGGGAGGCUGCAGCACGAGAAUUGCUUGAACACAGGAGGUGGAGGUUGCAGUGAGCUGAGAUCGUAUCAUUGCACUCCAGCCUGGGCAACAGAGCAAGACUCUGUCUCAAAAAAAAAAGCAUAGGAUUUAAUCCAUGAAUUUUGAAUUUCUAUGUUAAAUUUUUAGAAAUAGUAACUUUUUCUCCCAUAUUUCUCAGCUAUAUCUGAGAUAACUGGGACUGAGCAACAUUGUCUAGACAGGCAAAGUGUUAGCAAUAAUAAGUAUAAUAAUAAUUGUAAUGUAAUAAUGGAAUGAGGAUGUUAAAGUACUGAGAUCAGGAUAAAAGUUACAAUUGUCCAAAUUUUAAAUUUCCUAUCAUUUCCACUGAAAUCACUGACUGUACUUAUAACAUUAUCAGGAAUUUAUGCAAUUUGUAGGUUUUGAAAUAAAUUACCAUUCAGAAUUCAACCGUGAAAAACAGUGUAACUCUACUUGAAAAACACUUUGAAAAACUCAAGUUUCCACCAAAUCUAGAAGCACAUGGGUCGUAAAACAUAGUUCGAAAAGUUACGAGAGAUGAUGACUACAAGGAACUUUUUAUAAAAAUCUUUUAUAAGCAUUACUCUGUGGUCAAAUUUAUUUUCACAUGGAUAUUAAAACAAGUUAUUGCUAC
rnacentral:lncRNA from 10 species